UCGUGCUGUCGAGAGCUUGGGCCUGAGUAAUAGACAGAGUAACAGGCCGGGUAUCUCCUAAUCUGUACGACAUUAAUUUCUGAGCUUCAUAUCGCAGAUAUAAACUGCACCGGAGUAGAGAGAAGGCAUAUGUCAACGGGAAGUCGAAUGCAGAGACAUAUAUACAUGGCCGGUGCGUUAUUAGCCACGUGGAUGGUUUUUCCGACUGGGAACGUUCAAUGUGCUGAAAUGGACGACGAGGGACACACAAGCAAGGUGGCACAAGAGCGGCGCAUCAUUUUCCACCUCACUCGCACAACUACAAGACCAACAAGAAGCUUGCUAGAAUACAUUCCACAAGCUCAGCCCUGGCCCCCACAAGCACCUCGCCCACGAGAAAAGAGAUAGUGCCACUUGGGUGUAACUCAUUUUGAUUAAACAAACCAAA